UACAGAGGGUGCGAGCGUUAAUCGGAAUUACUGGGCGUAAAGCGUGCGUAGACGGUUCUGUAAGUCGGAUGUGAAAUCCCCGGGCUCAACCUGGGAAUUGCAUUCGAGACUGCAAAGCUUGGGUGCGGAAGAGGGAAGCGGAAUUUCCGGUGUAGCGGUGAGAUGCGUAGAUAUCGGAAGGAACAUCAGUGGCGAAAGCGGCUUCCUGGUCCAGCACCGACGUUCAGGCACGAAAGCGUGGGGAGCAAACAGG
rnacentral:rRNA from 1 species